GCCUCAGCUUUGCAAAGUGUUGGAUUAUAGGCAGGAGCCACUGCCCCCAAAUUCACUCAUUUUUGAGAAUAAGAGCUAGAAGGAAUAAUGCGUUUAAAAACUUGCCUGAAUUUUCCUUCAUGAAGUCUAUAUUGACAUGUAAGGGGUAGCUCAGGACAGAGAAAAGAAACUCAGACCUAAUGAAUCUGUGGCAAAGGUUAACAACAUUCCAUGCUGGAAAUGAUUAAAACAUCCUCCAGGAGGUAUGACCUGGAGUCUCCUCCCCACCCCACCAAGGGCUCCCACCCAGCUCAUGCUGACUCCAAUUGCCCUUGACCGAAUGGUUUCUGCUGGUCCAAGCAACAUUCUCCUGCCACAUCUAACCUCGGAGAGCAGGUGAGGCCCCAAAGGACCUGAGCUUGUUAGAAAGCUGACUGCAUCGAGAUGCUGUGGUUUCUCAAAGGUCCUGUGGCUCUAGGAGAACUAUCAGUAAGUUGGAAUACA